rnacentral:rRNA from 1 species
GGCGAACGCUGGCGGCGUGCCUAAUACAUGCAAGUCGAGCGGACUUUCAAGAAGCUUGCUUUUUGAAAGUUAGCGGCGGACGGGUGAGUAACACGUGGGCAACCUGCCUGCAAGACGGGGAUAACUCCGGGAAACCGGGGCUAAUACCGGAUAAUAUCUUCCUUCGCAUGAAGGAAGGUUGAAAGGCGGCGCAAGCUGCCGCUUGCAGAUGGGCCCGCGGCGCAUUAGCUAGUUGGUGAGGUAACGGCUCACCAAGGCGACGAUGCGUAGCCGACCUGAGAGGGUGAUCGGCCACACUGGGACUGAGACACGGCCCAGACUCCUACGGGAGGCAGCAGUAGGGAAUCUUCCGCAAUGGACGAAAGUCUGACGGAGCAACGCCGCGUGAGCGAAGAAGGUCUUCGGAUCGUAAAGCUCUGUUGUCAGGGAAGAACAAGUACCGUUCGAACAGGGCGGUACCUUGACGGUACCUGACCAGAAAGCCACGGCUAACUACGUG